rnacentral:lncRNA from 1 species
GCAGCCUUAGUACAUUACCGCUGCAAACAGACGACGAGAUCUGCUGCUACCUGAAAAGUCACCGUACAAUGGCCGACAGAGGCUCAUGCCUGUGGCGGUGGCUUGGCGAUGACGACGGGGAAGUCGAUGACGACCACCUUCUCGAGUGCGGCCAUGAACGUGGCGGCGAACGCGGCGUGCUUCUCGUGGGCCAUGUAGGCGGUGAGGUCGUCGGCGGAGGCGAAGGUGAGCGAGAAGACGUGUGUGAAGCCCUGCGUCAGCAUCUCCUGGUUCAGCACGUCCUUCCCCCUGCAACAACAGUUUCAAUGUUCAUUCAUCCAUUCAUGGAGGCCAUGAACGCAUUGCAAUCGGCAGUAAGCAUGUGAUGAAUCGUGAUCCUGGACAUGGCAAUUAUUCAGUAAAGCACUAUGUGCAGCCUCUGAAAGUCUGAAGAAGUUGGGGCAGACACUUAUGUGCUGAAUGACUGAUAAAAAGUUUGCUUCUAGUACGUACGUGUUACUACUACUUGAGCAUGCAGUGCAGUGUAAGCUUCACGAAAGGAAAACAGAAAGGUGAAGGCAAAGGCAGCUCCAUCAUGGGAUGAGUGUACCACUCGAAGGAUUUGACCAUGUCCAUCUGGGCGGCAAGGUCGGCCAUGCCUUUGAGGAUGUCCUCCACCACGACGCCCUCCUUGAACUUCACCAGGCACAGGUGCUUCACCUCCGCCAUGGCACUCCCUCGCUCCUCUUCCAGUGAGUGGCUUUGCAGAACGAGAGGUGUGGAU